rnacentral:lncRNA from 1 species
GGACCAUAUCUCCUGGGCUAUGUUUUGCUCAAAGAGGCCUCUAUACUCCUCCUUCCCAGUCCAGGCUGCAGAGACCAUGGAGCCCAGGGUACAGGAGGGAGAGGAGCCCAAAUGUCAGAAUGCACCCAUGUCUGAGGUCAUCCUUCCUUUGAAAUACCUGCCACGAUGACUGCAGCUCCUGCAGGUUUCCCUCCCCAGGUCCCGUGGGAAGAUGUCCGUUAUCUCUUUGAUGAGAUCAUGUAUGGAGGCCACAUCACAGAUGACGGGGAUUGCAAACUGUGUCGGGUGUAUUUAGAAGAAUUCAUGAAUCCAUCUCUGAAGCUAGCUGCCCUGUCAGGAACACAUGCAUGUGGUGAAAAACCGAGACUUCCAGCCAACAGCCAUGUGAGCGAGCCAUCUUGGAAGUGGAUCCUCCAGCCCCAGUCAAGCCUUCAGAUGACUGCAGCUUUGGCCAACAUCUUGACUGCAACUUCCUGAGAGACCCUGAGCAAGAAUCACACCAUGAAGAUGUUCCUAGUUUUCUGAUUCUCAGAAACUGGCUGCCAUGUGAAGAAGGACAUGUUUGCUUCCACUUCUGCCACGAUUCAGUGUGAGAAUGGACUAAUACAGGGUCUGUGUUGGACAGGAAGGACAUGAAGAGAGGAAGGGCUGGUGGAGAGAAUGCAGAGUAGUCAUAAGACACGAGCCUCCUCUGAUGGUCGACUUUGCCUUGAGAACUCAGAUGACCUUGCCAGAAUCUUCUUAGAUAGCUUGGAACUCUAGAACAUUUCUACUCACCCUUCUUCCUUCUCCCAUUCACUCAAGGCCAGACCUGCAAUGUGAUCUGACAACUCCCAGCCUUACAAGGUUCUCUUCCAAUUUUCUCUCACAGGGAUUUUCCCUAAUAAAAUCAUCACACAUUUAAUC